rnacentral:rRNA from 1 species
CCUACGGGAGGCAGCAGUGGGGAAUAUUGCGCAAUGGGCGAAAGCCUGACGCAGCGACGCCGCGUGAGGGAUGAAGGUCUUCGGAUCGUAAACCUCUGUCAGCAGGGAAGAACGGUCACUGUGCUAAUCAGCAGUGAAUUGACGGUACCUGCAAAGGCAGCACCGGCUAACUCCGUGCCAGCAGCCGCGGUAAUACGGAGGGUGCGAGCGUUAAUCGGAGUUACUGGGCGUAAAGCGCUCGUAGGCGGUAUGUCAAGUCAAGGGUGAAAGCCCCGGGCUCAACGUGGGAACUGCCUUUGAAACUGGCAAACUGGAGUGUGGGAGAGGAUAGUGGAAUGCCAGGUGUAGGAGUGAAAUCCGUAGAUAUCUGGAGGAACAUCAGUGGCGAAGGCGACUAUCUGGCACAUAACUGACGCUGAGGAGCGAAAGCGUGGGUAGCAAACAGGAUUAGAUACCCGAGUAGUC